rnacentral:tRNA from 1 species
UCCGAAUUGGUGUAGUGGCUAACAUUUGACGCUCUCAUCUUCGUCCCUGGACGUGGAGGGGUACCGUCAAGCCCGGGGUUCGAUUCCCCGAUUCGGAG